rnacentral:rRNA from 1 species
CCUACGGGUGGCAGCAGUGAGGAAUAUUGGUCAAUGGGCGCGAGCCUGAACCAGCCAAGUCGCGUGAGGGAAGACGGUCCUAUGGAUUGUAAACCUCUUUUGUCGGGGAGCAAAAGACGCCACGCGUGGCGUUCCGAGAGUACCCGAAGAAAAAGCAUCGGCUAACUCCGUGCCAGCAGCCGCGGUAAUACGGAGGAUGCGAGCGUUAUCCGGAUUUAUUGGGUUUAAAGGGAGCGGAGGGGGAUGGUUAAGUCAGUUGGCAAAGUUUGAGGCUCAACCCUAUAGGGGCAGUUGAAACUGGUAGUCUUGAGUGAAUGAGAGGUGUGCGGAAUUCGUGGUGUAGCGGUGAAAUGCUUAGAUAUCACGAAGAACUCCGAUUGCGAAGGCAGCUUACUGGACCGCAACUGACGCUGAGGCACGAAAGUGUGGGUAUCAAACAGGAUUAGAUACCCUAGUAGUC